UAAGUUAUUGGUCGAAGUCAGGCUCAACUUGACGGAAGGUGAUAAUAGUAUUCUGCUUAGAGGAAAGGAGAGGUUAGUGGAAUUCUGUGUGUAGCGGUGAAAUGCGUUGAUCUACAGAGGAACACCAAAAAAGGCGAAGGCAACUAACUAUUCUUUUCUGACAUUGAGGCAUGAAAGCGUGGGGAGCAAACCGGAUUAGAUACCCGGGUAGUCCACGCCCUAAACGAUGAGCAUUAGAUAUUGGACGAUUGUUCAGUGUCGCAGCUAACGCUUUAAAUGCUCCGCCUGGGUAGUACGGCCGCAAGGCUGAAACUCAAAGGAAUUGACGGGGACCCGCACAAGCGCUGGAGCAUGUGGUUUAAUCCGAUACUACGCGUAAAACCUUACCAAGGCUUGACAUGUUUGGCAAAGCUAGGGAAACCUAGGAGAGGUUAUCCAGACACAGGUGUCUGCAUGGCCGUCGUCAGUUCGUGCUGUGAAGUGUACGCUUAAGUGCUAGAACGAACGCAACCCUCAUACUUAGUUACUACAUUUAAGGUGAGAUCUCUAGGUAGACUGCCAAGGCAACUUGGAGGAAGGAGAGGAUGACCGUUCUGGUCGUC
rnacentral:rRNA from 1 species